rnacentral:rRNA from 1 species
CGAAAGCCUGACGGAGCAACGCCGCGUGAGGGACGAAGGCCUCUGGGCUGUAAACCUCUUUUCUCAAGGAAGAAGAUCUGACGGUACUUGAGGAAUAAGCCACGGCUAAUUCCGUGCCAGCAGCCGCGGUAAUACGGGAGUGGCAAGCGUUAUCCGGAAUUAUUGGGCGUAAAGCGUCCGCAGGUGGUUAUUCAAGUCUGCUGUUAAAGACAGAAGCUCAACUUCUGAAAGGCGGUGGAAACUGGAGAACUAGAGUACGGUAGGGGUCGAGGGAAUUCCCAGUGUAGCGGUGAAAUGCGUAGAUAUCGGGAAGAACACCAGUGGCGAAGGCGCUCUGCUGGGCCAUAACUGACACUCAGGGACGAAAGCUAGGGGAGCG